rnacentral:lncRNA from 10 species
AAUAUGAAGCAGUUCUUUAUAAAACCAAUUCCAUGCUAGCUAUAAAGUGAAUUUUAUCAAAUUUAAAAUCAUCACUUCAUACAGAACACAUCUGAGCAUAAAGCAAAUUUUAGAAAUAAAACUAAUAGAAAUCCAUAAUUUGGAAAUUAAGAACAACUUGAAACAACCAAUGGUUCAAGGAAAAAUAGUGGAAAUUAGAAAACGCUUAGACCUGAGUGGACUGGAAGUGUACAUAUUAAAAUAUGUGAAAUGCAGCUAAAGUCACCUUUAGAGGGUAAUUUAUAGUCUUAAAAUCUUGUGUUAUGAAAGAAGAAUAGCUAAAGAUACAUGGAUUAAGUGACUAACGUGGAAAACAACGAACUGAAUAAAGAGACCAGCCUGGCCAACAUAGUGAAACCCCGUCUAUACUGAAAAUACAAAAAUUAGCUGGGCGUGGUGGGGGGCACCUGUAAUCCCAGCUACUUGGGAGGCUGAGGCAGGAGAAUCACUUGAACCUGGGAGGCGGAGGUUGCAGUGAGCCAAGCUGGUGCCACUGCUCUCCAGCCCGGGUGACAGUGUGAGACUCUGUCUCUAAAUAAAUAAAUAAGUAAAUAAAUAAAUAAAAGGCAGGCAGUCAUAAAGAGACAAAAGUAAAAAGAAUCAACGAGGCCUACAUUUGAAGAAAAUGAAAUUAGGGUAAAAUUGAUUUAAAAAUAAGGCAAAGACACAAAUGUUAUUAGAAAUUAAAUGCAUCAUAUGUUUUUAAGAAAACAAUAUUGUGAACAACUUUUGCCAGUAACUUUGAAAGUUUUUGUAAAAUAAAGUACUACAUAAAAAUAAACUAAGCAAACUUAAAAAGCAACAGAAAACCUAAACAAUCCUAUAAUCACUAAAAUUCUUAAAGAUUUGAUUAAAUAGUUGAAAAUGUUCCCACAUUUUACAGAAAAGGAAAUAAGAUGGUUAACACUCCCCAUGGCAGUAGGUGAGGUGUGGGAUGGGGAGGUGGUAAGGGACCUGCACCCAGGAGCAAAAAAAGGCAGGUGACUUAGUCUAAUCUUCCCUUAAACAUUCUAGUAACAGGCCUCCCAAUUAAUGAGCUAAUAAUGCUGUGGCUCCCAAACUGUACAGGAAGGUGCCCCGGGCACUGCAGGAUAUUGAAAUACUGCUAGAAAACACAGUGAUACUUGACAUUUCUUGAGCAAUCUGAAAACUCCUUGCCUGCAGUUCACAUGUGACUUCAUUCCUUUCAUUCAUGCUCCAUCUUUGUAGAGCUGGGCUUUGGGGUGUGGUUGUAAUAGAAAGCACCAUUAACAUCAGGCCGGGCAUGGUGGCUCGCGCCUGUAAUCCCAGCACUUUGGGAGGCCGAGGUGGGUGGAUCACAAGGUCAGGAGUUCGAGACCAGCCUGGCCAACAUGGUGAAACCGCAUCUCUAAUAAAAAUACAACAAAAAUUAGCCAGGCGUGGCGGUGGGCACCUGUAAUCCCAGCUACUCGGGGGGCUGAGGCAGGAGAAUUGCUUGAAGCCAGGAGGCAGAGGUUGCAGUGAGCCGAGAUUGCACCACUGCACUUCAGCCUGGGUGACAGAGCAAGACUCCAUCUCAAAAAAAAAAAAAAAAAAAAAAAAGCACCAUUAACAUCAAUGGAGAACAAGGUAUGAGUUGGGGAGGGUGGGGUCUAAUCUGAUUCCAGGGUUUAAGAGUGCAUACAUAGGCCUGGUGAGGUGGUUCACACCUGUAAUUCCAGCAUUUUGGGAGGCUGAGGUGGGAGGAUAGCUUGAAGGCUGGAGUUCAAGGCCAACCUGGGCAAGAGAGGGAGAUCCCACCUACAAAAAAUUUAAAAAUUAACCAGCCAUGGUGGCACACCUGUAGUCUAAACUACGUGAGAGGCUGAAGCAGGAAGAUCGCUCAAGCCCAGGAGAUCAAGGCUGCAGUGAGCUCCUGCACUCUGUCCUCAAGCCUGGGCCAUCACACUGCACUCAAGCCUGGGCGACAGGGCGAGACCCUGUCUCAAAAAAAUGAAAAAAUGGAGAGUAUACAUCCCAUUAAUAAGUAAUUGUAUUUAAGAAUGAAAAGUGGCUUUUUUUUUUAGUUUAUGGAUACUAUUAUUCAAACUGCUACUAAACUGUUCGGACAUAAACACUUACCAAGUUGUUUGAAAUUCAUUACCAGAGCUCGGGUAUUUCUGUCAGCCUCAGAGAAAAUGUGAAGAAACAAAGACACCAGGGGAACCAUGAACCAAGAAAAUCGGGGAACGUCUGGACCAAACGCUAGGAGUUCAGUCCUUACCUACAGAAUGCUCUUCGUAGGACGUUUCUGACUUUAGAACUGCAUUUGGUAAAAAGUCUAGAAUCAAUGCAUUAUGAGGCAUGCUUUCCGGAAAUGUCACCCAGCUGUGCAACUUGAGUGUAAAAUGCAGGUGAUUCACAACCUCGGUGCUUCCUGCUGUGUGCAUGGAUUGCUCACGCCUGCCUCGGGUUUCCUCCUGAGUCAGAAAGAGCAGGAAGGGCCAGGGGAGCCGGGCCAGAUGCCCCGGGCCUCACUCUGCCCCAUUUGUGCCUUUUCAUUCCUUGUAUUCCUACAUUAUUAGUAAAGCUUGACACUGGGCAAGAUUUCUGAUCUGUGUGGAUGUAAUUUGAUUAUCCAUCCUCAACUUCAUUAGUAAUCAGGGAAAUUCCCAAGAAAACUACAAUAUUGUUUUACAUCUGCCAGAUGAGCAAAACCAAUUUUUUAAUCCUAACAAUACUAAAGUGUUGGUGAGAAUAUGGAACAGUAGAAAAAUCUCAAAACACUGCUGGCAGGACUAUAAACUGGCACACCCAUUUGGGAAAACAAUUUAUGAUCUAGUAAAAUUAAUUAUGUGCAUAUUCCACGACACAGCAAGUCCACUUUGAGAAACUCUAGCACAUGUAUACUAGGUGAUAUGUACAACACGGUUCCCACCUUCACGGUUUAUAAUAGCAACCCAAAUGUCCACUGUGGGAAAACAGAUAAACUGUGGCCUAUUUAUAUUUAUACACAUGGCAUGCUGCACAAUAGUGACACAAAUAAGCAACAGCUACAUACUGCAACGUGGGUGAAAAUCACAGAUAUGCUACCGCAAGGCAAGGGAGAGGAUGCGAUUCGAAAACAAGCAAAAGAAAACACUAUAUUGUUUAUGGCCGGGCACGGUGGCUCAUGCCUGUAAUCCCAGCACUUUGGGAAGCCAAGGCAGGCAGAUCACCUGAGGUCGGGAGUUCGAGACCAGCCAGACCAACAUGCAGAAACCCCGUCUCUACUAAAAAUACAAAAAAUUAGCUGGGCAUGGUGGCGCAUGCCUGUAAUCCCAGCUACUCGGGAGGCUGAGGCCGGAGAAUUGCUUGAACCCGGGAGACAGAGGUUGCAGUGAGCCGAGAUCGUGCGAUUGCACCCCAGCCUGGGCGACAAGAGCAAAACUCUGUCUCAAAAAACAAAAGAAAAGAAAAAGAAAACAGUAUAUUGUUUAGAGAUAUGAACGUAUAUGGGAGAAAUCAUAAAAGCGAGGAAAAGAUGAACACAAAAUCGGGAUACUGGCUACCAUCUCUGAGGGCCAGGGAGAGAAGGAAAUUGGGGUUGGGCCCACAGGUGCUUCUGAGGUUUGAUCAGCUUCUGGUUGUUAAGGUGGGCGGCAGAUACAACAGGUGGUCACUUUAGUCUUUAAAAUGUGCGUAUACAAGUGUGUUAUCGGCUGGGUGCGGUGGCUCACACCUGUAAUCCCAGCACUUUGGGAGGCCAAGGCGGGCAGAUCACUUGAGGUCAGGAGUUUGAGACCAGCCCAGCCAACAUAGUGAAACUCCGUCUCUACUAAAAUUACAAAAAUUAACCGGGCAUGGUAGUACACACUUGUAAUCCCAGCUACUUGAGAGGCUAAGGCAGGAGAAUCACUUGAAUCAAGGAAGCGGAGGUUGCAGUGAGCUGAGAUCAUGCCACUGCACUCCAGCCUGGGCAACGGAGUGAGAUUCCAUCUCAGAAAAUAAAAAAAAGUGUGUUAUCUAUACUUUUGUAUGUAUGAUAUAUUCCACGGUUAAAAAACAGAAUAGAUUAUGGAGACAUAAUACAAGGUGUUAUGAUCACCAUGUAAUAAUGAUUUUUUGGUAAGUUAAUACGCAUAGAAAAAAGAACAGAAGAAACGUCAACUGAUAGCUGCAGUUAUGCCCUGGCUGUGGC